UACCGUGAAAAAAUUAGAGUGUUCAAAGCGGGCAGAUAUUUUUCCUGCCACCGAAUACAUUAGCAUGGGAUAAUGGAAUAGGACCCUGACCUCCUAUUUUCAGUUGGUUUUGUUUACAGCGAGGUUAUAUCAGGGUAAUGAUUAAUAGGGAUAGUUGGGGGCAUUAAUAUUUAAUUGUCAGAGGUGAAAUUCUUGGAUUUAUGAAAGAUUAACUUCUGCGAAAGCGUUUGCCAAGGAUGUUUUCAUUAAUCAAGAACGAAAGUUAGGGGAUCGAAGACGAUCAGAUACCGUCGUAGUCUUAACCAUAAACGAUGCUCGACCAGCKAUUAGGAGACGUUGAAUACAAAACACCGCUGUUAAUCCUUUCGGGGGUUAAUAGUUGGUGAAUGACUCCCUAGCGCUUUGGUGAGA
rnacentral:rRNA from 1 species